rnacentral:rRNA from 1 species
GACGAACGCUGGCGGCGUGCUUAACACAUGCAAGUCGAACGGUGAAGCGCUUUCCUUUUUGGUUGGUGUGGAUGAGUUGCGAACGGGUGAGUAACACGUGAGUAACCUGCCCCCUUCUUCUGGAUAACCGCAUGAAAGUGUGGCUAAUACGGGAUAUUCUGCGCCUGCUGCAUGGUGGGUGUGGGAAAGAUUGUGCCUUUGGGUGUUUUCGGUGGGGGUUGGGCUCGCGGCCUAUCAGCUUGUUGGUGGGGUGAUGGCCUACCAAGGCGGUGACGGGUAGCCGGCCUGAGAGGGUGGAGGGUCACACUGGGACUGAGACACGGACCAGACUCCUACGGGAGGCAGCAGUGGGGAAUAUUGCACAAUGGGAGCAAGCCUGAUGCAGCGACGCCGCGUGAGGGAUGGAGGCGUUCGGGUUGUGAACCUCUUUCGCAAGAGAAGCAGGCCUGCUCAUUGUGGGUGGGUUGACGGUAGCUGGAUAAGAAGCGCCGGCUAACUACGUG